UACGACUACAUAUCAGGCAUAUCAAUAAGCGGAGGAAAAGAAACUAACAAGGAUUCCCUUAGUAACGGCGAGUGAAGCGGGAAGAGCUCAAAUUUGAAAUCUUCAAGGUUUUACCUUGACGAAUUGUAGUUUAAAGAAGUGUUUUCUGUUGAAGUUUUGGUAAAAGUUCUUUGGAAUAGGACAUCAUAGAGGGUGAGAAUCCCGUAUUUGACCAUUAUUUUCAGCUGUGUGAUACACUUUCAAAGAGUCGGAUUGUUUGGGAAUGCAGUCCAAAAUGGGUGGUAAAUUUCAUCUAAAGCUAAAUAUUGGCGAGAGGACCGAUAGCGAACAAGUACCGUGAGGGAAAGAUGAAAGGAACUUUGAAAAGAGAGUUAAACAGUACGUGAAAUUGUCAAAAGGGAAGCGUUUGACACCAGUGUUGUUUUCUCGAAAAUCAAUUAAAAAAAGUUGGGAUUUUGUGUUGUAUUGACCUUAACAGCUUUCUGCACUCUUUUCCAGCUUUUUUAAUGCACUUUUCGUUUAACAAGUCAACAUCAGUUUCUUUUGUUGUAAAAGGGUCAUUGGAAGGUGGCUUUCUCUUCGGAGAAAGUGUUUAUAGCCUUUGAUCUCUGCAAUCGGAGAGACUGAGGUCUGCAGCGUAGAUCCUUCGGGGUUAGAUACAUUUGUGCUAAGCUACAGCUUUUCAUAGACAACUUGUUGACUAUGUUCAGUCUUGUGACUUACCCGCUUAUGCUAUUUUACCUACGCUUAGGAUGUUGAGCGCAUGUCUCUCUCU
rnacentral:rRNA from 1 species